GACGAACGCUGGCGGCGUGCUUAACACAUGCAAGUCGAACGGGCCUGUCCUGGUUUUUGCUGGGGUGGGUUAGUGGCGAACGGGUGAGUAACACGUGAGUAACCUGCCCCUCACUUCUGGAUAACCGCUUGAAAGGGUGGCUAAUACGGGGUGUUCUGGCUGUGCCGCAUGGUGUGGUUGGGAAAGAUUCACUAUUUGUUUGGUGUUUUGGUGGGGGAUGGGCUCGCGGCCUAUCAGCUUGUUGGUGGGGUGAUGGCCUGCCAAGGCUUUGACGGGUAGCCGGCCUGAGAGGGUGGGCGGUCACACUGGGACUGAGACACGGCCCAGACUCCUGCGGGAGGCAGCAGUGGGGGAUAUUGCACAAUGGGCGGAAGCCUGAUGCAGCGACGUCGCGUGAGGGAUGGAGGCCUUCGGGUUGUGAACCUCUUUCGCCGGUGAAGAAGGUCCUGCUUUUUGGGUGGGGUUGACGGUAGCCGGGUUAUGAAGCGCCGGCUAACUACGUGCCAGCAGCCGCGGUAAUACGUAGGGCGCGAGCGUUGUCCGGAAUUAUUGGGCGUAAAGGGCUUGUAGGCGGCUGGUCGCGUCUGUCGUGAAAUCCUCUGGCUCAGCUGGGGGCGUGCGGUGGGUACGGGCUGGCUUGAGUGCGGUAGGGGAGGCUGGUACUCCUGGUGUAGCGGUGGAAUGCGCAGAUAUCAGGAGGAACACCGGUGGCGAAGGCGGGUCUCUGGGCCGUUACUGUACGCUGAGGAGCGAAAAGCGUGUGGAGCGAACUGG
rnacentral:rRNA from 1 species